GAUAUACAUUAUAAUAUGCAUGUGUCUAUGUGUCUGAGUGUAAAUUGAUAGAUAGAUGCUUGUAUUUUUAUCUAAAAUAUACACACAAACAUAGCUGUAUGACUGUGCUAUAUUAUUAUUAUUAUUAUUAUUAUUAUUUGGUGUAUUGUGUUAUUGUGGUUGUUCUUGCUGCUGAUGUUCUUGUAUGUAGCCGAUUUGUGUCUUUUCAGGAAACACUUGGCUACAAAUCCGUUUGAUAUAUAUUGUCUUAUUUUAUUGUCCUCUUUAUCAGCUUAUCUUUUAGGUAUUGUGCAGCAUGAUUGGGGCUUUGCUGUAAAACCAGACUCCUUUCAGGCUCUCACUCUACAUCUACCCUUGUUAUGAUAUUUCUAAAAAGGUAUUUUUUUUCUUCCUAUACAGAAUAGAAGCACCUUUUUAUUCUUUUUCUGUGAAUGUGCAGGGAUUAUUUUAGGUAGGGGAAAGGACGUGGUACUUGGAAUGAGGCAGCUCUGGGCUAUAAUAAUGACGCUUCCUUCUCUCACAAGAGAAAGUUAAGUGUUUUAUUGCAUCUAUAAGCAAAGGGCAAGGCUUAAAGCUCUGCUCGAUUUAUGGGGAGAAGAAAACUGGCUACUAGCACAUGGAACUUCCAGCAACAAAGAGAAGCCCUGAUUUCAUUAUUUCAUCUCAGCAUAUUGGAAGAGAAAAAAAGUUUUAAGCCCCCUCAAUAAGACUUUCAGCCUCUUCUACUACUAUGCCUUGGCUACUGUGCACAACUAGUUUUGGUUACCUUGCUAAAAAAAACUUUGAGCAUUGCUUCCAAUCCUGUUCUGCAUGUUGGUGUGUAAUUGCCUCUGAGGUAUAUAAUCUGCUCUAUACAUGUAUUGUGUACAGUCAGCAGAAUAUAAAGGAACAGAUGUUUGUGGAGCAAUCCCAGAGAUCUGUACUUUUGACUUGUGGCUUUAUUCUCUAAUGUUCCCCUAAAGGUUUAAUCUUAUACAAACACUGACUGCAAAACAUAUCACUCCCAUACCCUGGAUGUGCAGAUAAAUCUUGCAUCAGUUGAAGACUAAAGAUCUGCUGCAGUUACUAAACCAAUGAAUGAAACUGAAAUUUUAAAGUUUGUUGAAUACAUUUCAAAACUUUUUUUUUUAUUAGGAAAUUUGACAAGAAAAUAUGUCAUCCCUAAAACAGGUUCAUACUCGUACUCGUUCUGCUUUGUGAAUCUCCUUGUGAAAACCUUCGCUAAGAAUGUAGCUUUAUGGAAAAUAACAGAUUUUGCAAAACGACAAACCCAGCUCUGCUACAUCUUGACAAAGUCAGUCUGAAAUAGAUAGAGAUAGAUAGAUAGACAGUAGAGACAUGGGUGAAGAAUCAGACACGUGGCACAAACUCCACUGUGAAUGUCUACCAGCUGUUAUCUGCAUGAUACAACGUUUUUGGUCAUGUGACCAUUAUACUUUUCAUAUGGAUUUUUUGUUUGAUGCACAGAGUGGCCUAACAUUGUUAUUAAGGUAAACAAUACAAUCCCAAAUUCUAUGAGAGUUUAUAGUCUGCUUUUAAUAUGUGGUAUCAGAUUACAGGGAAGCUACUCUAUGGGGCGUGAUUUCUUUACAUGCUGCUUAAAAAAAUAAUAAUAAAAACAUUAUAUAUAUUA